GUAGGUGGCAAGCGUUGUCCGGAAUUAUUGGGCGUAGAGCGCGCGCAGGGCGGUCCUUUAAGUCUGAUGUGAAAGCCCACGGCUCAACCGUGGAGGGUCAUUGGAAACUGGGGGACUUGAGUACAGAAGAGGAAAGCGGAAUUCCAAGUGUAGCGGUGAAAUGCGUAGAGAUUUGGAGGAACACCAGUGGCGAAGGCGGCUUUCUGGUCUGUAACUGACGCUGAGGCGCGAAAGCGUGGGGAGCAAACAGGAUUAGAUACCCUGGUAGUCCACGCCGUAAACGAUGAGUGCUAAGUGUUAGGGGGUUUCCGCCCCUUAGUGCUGCAGCUAACGCAUUAAGCACUCCGCCUGGGGAGUACGGCCGCAAGGCUG
rnacentral:rRNA from 1 species